UUAUGAGAAAAAAAAAAAACUACUCGAUAUUUAUGGGAGUAUAUAUUCUCUCUCUUACUUUCCUCGUUUAGAUCCAAAUCCCAAUUGCAUCAUAUCGCCAUUACUUCCUAAGAGAUAUAGAUCACAGCUCUCUCCACCAUGGAUCUUCCACCCGAAGACCUCCAAUUCCUCACCAUAUCAGACAUCUUCAAAGAAUCAAUCUCAAUCCCUAAACAAUCGCCCAAAACCUUCUACCUCAUAACCCUAACCCUAAUCUUCCCUCUCUCCUUCGCCAUCCUCGCCCACUCCCUCUUCACCCACCCACUCUUCUCCCAAAUCGAGUACCGCUCCGGCUCUCACACCCACCAGUGGACCAAGCUCCUCCUCUUCCAAUUCUGCUAUCUCAUCUUCCUCUUCGCUUUCUCUCUCCUCUCCACAGCUGCUGUCGUCUUCACUGUCGCCUCUCUCUACACCUCCAAGCCCGUCUCUUUCUCCUCCACCAUCUCCGCCAUUCCCAGCGUCUUCAAGCGCCUCUUGAUCACCUUCUUAUGGGUUUCCAUCACCAUGAUUGCUUACAACAUUGUGUUUGUCUGUUUUCUGCUCCUCCUCGUCAUCGCCGUGGAUACCCAGAACACGUUUCUGUUCGUAUUCGCCUUGAUUGUGAUCUUCAUUCUUUUCUUGGUUGUGCAUGUGUACAUCACUGCGUUGUGGCAUUUGGCUAGCGUCGUGUCGGUGCUCGAACCCGUUUACGGGUUUGCCGCGAUGAAGAAGAGCUAUGAGUUGUUGAAGGGGAAGAUUGGGAUGGCGUUUGUGCUAGUUUUCGGGUAUAUGGCGAUUUGCGGGGUGAUUAAUGGAGUUUUCGGAUCGGUGGUGGUUCAUGGUGGGCUUUUUUAUGGGGUGUUUGCGAGAAUUACUGUUGGUGGGUUCUUGGUUGGAGUGUUGGUGAUUGUGAAUUUGGUGGGUUUGCUAGUGCAGAGUGUUUUUUACUAUGUUUGCAAGAGCUUUCAUCAUCAAGGGAUUGACAAGAGUGCUCUGUAUGAUCAUCUUGGUGGCUAUCUUGGAGAGUAUGUGCCUCUCAAAAGCAGCAUUCAGAUGGAAAACUUGGACGUCUGAGACCAUGAUAUUACUUCGUUUUCGGGCCGGGCUGCAGAAUCCAACUGUGCAUUGCUUUCAUUAGGAACUGUAAUUUCAUCACCAACAAAAGACUUAUCUGGAAAUUUUGAUAGGAUCUGACCAUGUAGCUUGAGAUAAAGUAACAUCGGCGGGGAGUUGUUGCACGUUGUCACAGAAGCUUACAGCAAGUUGAAGGCAAAUUUUUUGUCUCUUCAAAAUCUUGGAAGAUACAAGAACCAAUUUUUUUUGAGUUUCGAGAAUUUAAGAAUAACCUAAAUCUGAUGGUUAGUUUGCUGAUAGUGCAUGCUAGAUUGAGGUUUGGGACACUUGGUUACUGUAAUGAGUAAACAUCAAUCUUCUUUUAAUGCAUCCUUAAAGUUCAAAUCAGAAUGUGUGUGAAAACCACCAGGGAAUCAAGUUCUCUGUGAAAUGAUAACCUUUAUAACAGUGUAUUCCUUUUCAAGUAAUACCUUUGAAAGAUAUCCCACUUCAAAUGGGUGGGGCGUCACCUAAUUA